UGGGGAAUAUUGCACAAUGGGCGCAAGCCUGAUGCAGCGACGCCGCGUGAGUGAAGAAGUAUUUCGGUAUGUAAAGCUCUAUCGGCAGGGAAGAAAGGCCCGAAAGGGAGAUGACGGUACCUGACUAAGAAGCCCCGGCUAACUACGUGCCAGCAGCCGCGGUAAUACGUAGGGGGCAAGCGUUAUCCGGAUUUACUGGGUGUAAAGGGAGCGUAGACGGAUGAUCAAGUCUGAUGUGAAAACCCGGGGCUCAACCCCGGGACUGCAUUGGAAACUGGUGAUCUGGAGUAUCGGAGAGGUAAGCGGAAUUCCUAGUGUAGCGGUGAAAUGCGUAGAUAUUAGGAGGAACACCGGUGGCGAAGGCGGCUUACUGGACGACAACUGACGUUGAGGCUCGAAAGCGUGGGGAGCAAACAGG
rnacentral:rRNA from 2 species